CAGUUCAGAUUGCAGGCUGCAACUCGCCUGCAUGAAGUUGGAAUUGCUAGUAAUCGCGAAUCAGAAUGUCGCGGUGAAUACGUUCCCGGGCCUUGUACACACCGCCCGUCACACCAUGAGAGUCGAUAACACCCGAAGCCUGUGAGCUAACCGCAAGGGGGCAGCAGUCGAAGGUGGGGUUGAUGAUUGGGGUGAAGUCGUAACAAGGUACC
rnacentral:rRNA from 1 species